rnacentral:rRNA from 1 species
CGGGGGGGCAAGCGUUGUUCGGAAUUACUGGGCGUAAAGGGCUCGUAGGUGGCCAACUAAGUCGGACGUGAAAUCCCUCGGCUUAACCGGGGAACUGCGUCCGAUACUGGUUGGCUUGAGUUCGGGAGAGGGAUGCGGAAUUCCAGGUGUAGCGGUGAAAUGCGUAGAUAUCUGGAGGAACACCGGUGGCGAAGGCGGCAUCCUGGACCAAUACUGACGCUGAGGAGCGAAAGCCAGGGGAGCAAAACGGGAUUAGAUACCCCGGUAGUCCUGGCCCUAAACGAUGAAUGCUUGGUGUGGCGGGUAUCGAUCCCUGCCGUGCCGAAGCUAACGCAUUAAGCAUUCCGCCUGGGGAGUACGGUCGCAAGGCUG